AUCCCACGUUCCAACUUUUUGUGGCAAAUUUGUUUAAUGGUUACAUUAUCCGGAAUUUUGCAAACACAAUCGGGCUAUCAUGGGUUUUAUUGCUCAAUGAGAAAUAAUAGACAGCUGCAGAUUGAAAUUAGGGAAAUUGGUCGCAGUAUUUAAAUAAACCCAGUUUCCUUUCAAUUGUUAUAAGAUCGUUUAAAUAGCAGUGGCUAUCAAGUGUGCUAUACUUUUCAAACUAAGGGAAACAAAGUUGAUGAACAAGCUACUACUCGUCGCUAUUUUGCUCGGCAUGCUAAUGAUGGUACAAAGCUCCGAGGCUUAUAAUAAGCGUCGUUCUAUGCGGAGAAGGCGUAGAGUUCUAAGACGCAGAUCUAACGGAGAUGAGAUGCUGAGCAAAAUGAUGAGAGAAGAACUAGAUUUCGAAAUCCUGAUUGAGCGGUAACUGAAAUGCUUAACGGAAUGGCAGAUAAGGAACACACACAACGAUCGAAAGAUACGGCCUUUCUUUCAACCGCAUUCUAGUAAAUAAAUAACCAGCAA